rnacentral:rRNA from 1 species
GUACACUCCUGCGGGAGGCAGCAGUGGGGAAUAUUGCACAAUGGGCGCAAGCCUGAUGCAGCCAUGCCGCGUGUAUGAAGAAGGCCUUCGGGUUGUAAAGUACUUUCAGCGGGGAGGAAGGCGAUAAGGUUAAUAACCUUGUUGAUUGACGUUACCCGCAGAAGAAGCACCGGCUAACUCCGUGCCAGCAGCCGCGGUAAUACGGAGGGUGCAAGCGUUAAUCGGAAUUACUGGGCGUAAAGCGCACGCAGGCGGUCUGUCAAGUCGGAUGUGAAAUCCCCGGGCUCAACCUGGGAACUGCAUUCGAAACUGGCAGGCUAGAGUCUUGUAGAGGGGGGUAGAAUUCCAGGUGUAGCGGUGAAAUGCGUAGAGAUCUGGAGGAAUACCGGUGGCGAAGGCGGCCCCCUGGACAAAGACUGACGCUCAGGUGCGAAAGCGUGGGGAGCAAACAGGAUUAGAAACCCGGGUAGUCCCAUGAU